CAGCCAAAACGGGGAGAAAUAAUUAUUGUUUUGACAACUUAAGUGUUCUUUAUGAUGAUUAACCACGCCUGACGCGACCUAUAAUUUUAGAUUAAAUCAAAAUUUUAAAUAUUUAAUGAAUAUGAUCUCUAUUAUCUUUGAUUGACCUAUGCUCUUAUUCACCUUCGUCCCUUUAUUAAUAAAGUGAAAUUAAUCGCGAUUGUCGUCCCGAAUGUCUGCAUUUAUUAUGUUCCUUGAACUA